ACUCCAUCAAAGAAUAGGCAGCAUCGACGACGCCACGAGCAGGAGGGAUUCGUCGUAGCCAAGUGCUAAAAACCGCUGCAGUGCCGAGCCGAUUACCGUGAGUGAGUCUAUGAGACCGUGACUGCUAGCUGCCGCUGCCGUUUCUAGGUUUCUCCUUUCUGCCUUCUUUGUUCAAGCUGGUGGACCACUCAGGUGAAAACUGUGGACAAGCCCCACAGUUUGCCAAUCAUAGUAAGUAAAGCAAUCUGUUGAGAAAAUGGUAUGAAUUUUUGGGUACGACUUUGCAGGUUCGCUAUUAGCUUCUUACUGUCCUUUAACUUUCAUGAUUCGACGAUUUCUAGGAGUCAAUAAUUUAGGUCGAGUUAGUUCCACAAAUGUUCUGCUCCUCAAGAAACUCAAGUAUUUUGUGUUUGAGAAUUGUGAUUUAUGAAUUAUGAUAAGUAAUUUAUGUUA